AGUGAACGCUGGCGGUAGGCCUAACACAUGCAAGUCGAACGGCAGCACAGUAAGAGCUUGCUCUUACGGGUGGCGAGUGGCGGACGGGUGAGGAAUACAUCGGAAUCUACUUUUUCGUGGGGGAUAACGUAGGGAAACUUACGCUAAUACCGCAUACGACCUACGGGUGAAAGCAGGGGAUCUUCGGACCUUGCGCGAUUGAAUGAGCCGAUGUCGGAUUAGCUAGUUGGCGGGGUAAAGGCCCACCAAGGCGACGAUCCGUAGCUGGUCUGAGAGGAUGAUCAGCCACACUGGAACUGAGACACGGUCCAGACUCCUACGGGAGGCAGCAGUGGGGAAUAUUGGACAAUGGGCGCAAGCCUGAUCCAGCCAUACCACGUGGGUGAAGAAGGCCUUCGGGUUGUAAAGCCCUUUUGUUGGGAAAGAAAAGCAGCAGGUUAAUACCCCGCUGUUCUGACGGAACCCAAAGAAUAAGCACCGGCUAACUUCGUG
rnacentral:rRNA from 1 species